rnacentral:rRNA from 1 species
GAUGAACGCUAGAUACAGGCUUAACACAUGCAAGUCGUGGGGCAUCAUGAUGUAGUAAUACAUUGAUGGCGACCGGCGCACGGGUGAGUAACGCGUAUCCAACCUACCCUCCACUCAAGUAUAGGCUUCCGAAAGGGAGAUUAAUCCUUGAUAUGUCAUUCUCUCUCCUGUUAGAAUGAUAAAAGGACUUUAGUUCGGUAGAGGAUGGGGAUGCGUUCCAUUAGGUAGUAGGUGGUUUAACAGGCCACCUAGCCGAUGAUGGAUAGGGGUUCUGAGAGGAAUAUCCCCCACACUGGUACUGAGAUACGGACCAGACUCCUACGGGAGGCAGCAGUGAGGAAUAUUGGUCAAUGGGCGCAAGCCUGAACCAGCCAUGUAGCGUGAAGGAUGACGGUUUUUUUGAUUGUAAACUUCUUUUCUGUGCGAUUAAAGUGU